GACGAACGCUGGCGGCGUGCUUAACACAUGCAAGUCGAACGCUGAAGCUUGGUGCUUGCACUGGGUGGAUGAGUGGCGAACGGGUGAGUAAUAAGUGAGUAACCUGCCCUUGACUCUGGGAUAAGCCUGGGAAACUGGGUCUAAUACUGGAUACGACAUGUCACCGCAUGGUGGUGUGUGGAAAGGGUUUUAGUGGUUUUGGAUGGGCUCACGGCCUAUCAGCUUGUUGGUGGGGUAAUGGCUCACCAAGGCGACGACGGGUAGCCGGCCUGAGAGGGUGACCGGCCACCCUGGGACUGAGACACGGCCCAGACUCCUACGGGAGGCAGCAGUGGGGAAUAUUGCACAAUGGGCGGAAGCCUGAUGCAGCGACGCCGCGUGAGGGAUGACGGCCUUCGGGUUGUAAACCUCUUUCAGCAAGGAAGAAGCGAAAGUGACGGUACGUGCAGAAGAAGCGCCGGCUAACUACGUG
rnacentral:rRNA from 1 species